rnacentral:rRNA from 1 species
GACGAACGCUGGCGGCGUGCUUAACACAUGCAAGUCGAACGGAAGGGCCCUGCUUUUGUGGGGUGCUCGAGUGGCGAACGGGUGAGUAACACGUGAGUAACCUGCCCUUGACUUUGGGAUAACUUCAGGAAACUGGGGCUAAUACCGGAUAGGAGCUCCUGCUGCAUGGUGGGGGUUGGAAAGUUUCGGCGGUUGGGGAUGGACUCGCGGCUUAUCAGCUUGUUGGUGGGGUAGUGGCUUACCAAGGCUUUGACGGGUAGCCGGCCUGAGAGGGUGACCGGCCACAUUGGGACUGAGAUACGGCCCAGACUCCUACGGGAGGCAGCAGUGGGGAAUAUUGCACAAUGGGCUGAAGCCUGAUGCAGCAACGCCGCGUGCGGGAUGACGGCCUUCGGGUUGUAAACCGCUUUCGCCUGUGACGAAGCGUGAGUGACGGUAAUGGGUAAAGAAGCACCGGCUAACUACGUG